rnacentral:rRNA from 1 species
UGGGGAAUUUUGGACAAUGGGCGAAAGCCUGAUCCAGCAAUGCCGCGUGUGUGAAGAAGGCCUUCGGGUUGUAAAGCACUUUUGUCCGGAAAGAAAGAGUUGCAAUGAAUAAUUGUGAUUUAUGACGGUACCGACAGAAAAAGCACCGGCUAACUACGUGCCAGCAGCCGCGGUAAUACGUAGGGUGCGAGCGUUAAUCGGAAUUACUGGGCGUAAAGGGUGCGCAGGCGGUCUUGCAAGUCAGAUGUGAAAGCCCCGGGCUUAACCUGGGAAUUGCGUUUGAAACUACAAGGCUAGAGUGCAGCAGAGGGGAGUGGAAUUCCAUGUGUAGCAGUGAAAUGCGUAGAGAUGUGGAAGAACACCGAUGGCGAAGGCAGCUCCCUGGGUUGACACUGACGCUCAUGCACGAAAGCGUGGGGAGCAAACA